GAACUAGGAAUUUUUCCACUGAAACAGUUGUCAUUUAAUUUUAAAACUUCUAAGGACAUCCAACCCAUCCAACAAUCAGGUAUCUCUCCGGAUAGAUGAUUUUUUCCAAAGUUAAGCAGCACAGUGAUCACAUCAUGUGUUCUAUGACAUAGAAAGGUGAAUAAUGAUCCAGAGAGUAAAUUAUCGGAAAGAUCUAUCCAACAGGAAGAGACAUUAGGCAAUGGACCAUUGAAUUUAUUUGAACUCAAGUCGAUGAAGGUAUACAAAUCAUUGGUGGAGGACAAAUAGGGAAUCUUGCCAUGCAAUUGGUUAUGAGAUAAAUUAAGAUUAGAAAGUCUUAAAGACCAGUCACUGAACCAAACAGGAAGGGUACUUGAAAUUUUUGAGUUUGACAAGUCUAGAAAGACUAACUCCUUCAGUGAACGGAGCCAUCUAGGAAGUUGAGGUCCAACAUCCCAAGAUUGCAAAGAUAUGCUUUCAACAAGUUGAAAAGGUGGAA
rnacentral:misc_RNA from 1 species